rnacentral:tRNA from 1 species
UUUGACAGGGGGAAGUAGGGAUCCCCUCCCUAGAAAUCAAAAUUCUUUGUGCUCACACACCGCUAUCAAU